rnacentral:rRNA from 1 species
GACGAACGCUGGCGGCGUGCUUAACACAUGCAAGUCGAACGGUGAAAGCGGAGCUUGCUCCGCUGGAUCAGUGGCGAACGGGUGAGUAACACGUGGGCAACCUGCCCCUCACUUCGGGAUAACUCCGGGAAACCGGGGCUAAUACCGGAUAUGACCUCCUUGGGCAUCCUUGGAGGUGGAAAGUUUUUCGGUGAGGGAUGGGCCCGCGGCCUAUCAGCUUGUUGGUGAGGUAGUGGCUCAACAAGGCGACGACGGGUAGCCGGCCUGAGAGGGCGACCGGCCACGCUGGGACGGAGACCGGGCCCAGACUGCUACGGGAGGGAGCAGUGGGGAAUAUUGCGCAAUGGGCUAAAGCCUGACGCAGCAACGCCGCGUGCGGGAUGACGGCCUUCGGGUUGUAAACCGCUUUCAGCAGGGAAGAAGCCGCAAGGUGACGGUACCUGCAGAAGAAGCACCGGCUAACUACGUGCCAGCCGCCGCAGUAACAC